UAGAAGGUUUGUAUUUGUCUAAUAGUUUUGACAUAUGAAUGAGUAAAUAUAAAGGAACUGAUCAGUGGUCCAAAAUUUUCAAUGUAGAGAGUGUUUAUUAAGAGAAAUUAGUGCCUGUGACUGUACUGAUAUUUUGUUAAAUUUGUUCCUCAAACCACCUACAUGCAAUAAGGUCAGAAACUGGUUAGAAGUUACCAGAUGCACCACAUCUACCGAGUAUGUUUAUCAUCUGUGUGAUCCUAGUAGAACAGAAAAAUAUGUGGCCUAAGAUCAUUUCUGCUUUAUCUGGUGGAUAACGAAGGGACAAGCGUGGAAGAGGCCUACAGCAGACCGUGUAGUUGUGUGAUGUAGUGCUACUUAAUUAAACUCUAAAGACAUUGAAAUAAAGUGAGCAAAUGUGUGCAUGAGUUUUGGGGUCAAUCACUACAUGAAACAUUUGAAAUGCUUCUGCAAUAUCAGCUUAAUUGAACUUAUAUUGCCAAAAAAGUUGUUGUUGUUGUUGUUGUUGUUGUUGUCGUCGUCGUCGUCAGGGCUGCCCCUGUCUCUGUGUGUCCUCCUCACAACACUUCCCAAGGCCUCUGGUCCUCUGAGGACAGUCCAGACCCGGACGGAGCCUGACCAAGAGAGGUGUGUAAGCUUGAAUGACAGAGACCCUCAUGGUUUUCGGGGGUGGGGAGGGCAGAGCUGGUGUUGGAAGUGAAUCCAGAGCCGGAAGCAAACCUCCUCUCCUUCAAAACUGACAGACAAGCGCGGCGUCAGACCUCCAGAGACCCUCACGAUUCUUUCAAGAGGACAUGAAAGAACCCACCAGGAAAAUGAAUAAUACAUCCAGCUUGCACUUCUGUUUGCUGUGGAAAGUCCCUGCUGGUUCACCUCCAUAUUCUGCAAAUAACAGCUAGAGACGGCGCGGCUCACCGAAGUUGGAUUCCUCUCCGAGUUCCCUGCCAAACCUCUGCAUGGUCUCUCCCAGGAUGGUCUCGGUCUGCGUGUAGCCCGGUCCCUUCUCCUGCCCCCUCAUACGUGACAUGGAGUUCAUCAUGCUCAUCUUAGCUCUGGUGGCUGUGAAGGCAAAGCAUUAAUGAAAACAACCACCACUUGGCUGAAUCAAUCUGUAGAGAGAAGACACAAUGACUGAGAUAUAAUGUCAACACCCGAAGAGCUGAAUCAGACGGAUCCUGACGGCUAUUAAGUGAUACUAUCGCUAUUUGACUU